rnacentral:ribozyme from 13 species
GGGCUCAACUCCUCUUGCAAGAAACCAAAAUUUCGGAAGGAAGAUCGCAAAGACAGUAACAAGAAUUGAAACGAGAAUUGCAAAGGCCGUCAAUAGGAUAAUAAGAGUGAUAUCUU